UAAAGCAGCCAAUGAGAGGCGCGGCCGCUCCGCUUUUCGAACUAGAUGACCGAGGGAGCCGAGGAGCUUGGACCGAGGCAGGUGCGACGAACCCUGAGGCGGGUGAGGGGACCUGGCGUCACUCCCUUCCUGAGAGUGACCCCAGCGCCGUUCCCAUUUUCUUAGGGAGACCCUGGCAUCAUCCCCCUUUCCUGAGAGUACCCUAGCGUCAUUCCUGCCGUACUGAGGGGGACUCCAGCAUCCUCUCGCCCUCCUGAAGUGAACCCUAGUAGCGUCUCUUCUUUCUGAGAGCGACGCCAGAGUCGUCCCCACUUCUUUAGGGAACCCUGGGGUCAGGCCCCUUGCUGAUGGGGCCCCAGCAUUAUCCUUCCUGAGGGAGACCGACCCUGGCGUCACCCCCUCUUCUUGAGGGGUCCCCUCCUAUGUCAUCCUUUCCGAAGGGGACCCCCAGGGUCAUACUCCCCCCUUUCCUCAAGGGUCCCUGUAUUGCUUCUCCUUCCUGAGAAGGGGUCUGGCAUUGUCCCCUCCCUUCCUGAGGGUUUGUCGUCAUUGCCAUCCCCACACCCUGAAAGGACCCAUCACCGCCCUUCUCUCUGAGGGUAAUCUCUUCCUCCCUUGCAAUUCGAGAAGGACCCCGGCAAGGGCUUCGGUGGUCCCCGUACAUGAGAAGUCCCAAAGCCCCCUCCUGCGCUUUCCUAUCCCCAGCUGGGGAGAGGGAGAGGCAAGACUCAAAUCACCCUCAAAAUGUUUGGGGGCGGGGGAGUGAAACUAGCUGAUAAAGGAACUCACCAUGUCACAUGAGAAAUUGUUUAAGGAACUGGGGCUGUUUCUCCUAAAACGGGAGCUGGAGGAAGGAUCUAAAGCUGCCUUAAAAUAUUUAUCAAGUGCGUCUCACAGCUCCUGACAUCAUCAGUAGGUACUUAUUCAGCAACUGGAUAUAUUCAGGCUGUUACCUGAAAGAGGGAUUACUCUGUUCCAUGACGUUCCAAGGUAUCUGAUGAUAACAGGUAAAGAAAGGUCAAAAGGGCUUCUUGGGUUGAACUAAAAUCGUAACAGGCUAAGUAGCUCUACUCUUGCACAGAGCUGCCGAAAUCCACACCAUUGGAGAAGCAUCUGCAUGACCUCACCAAUUCCAUUUAAUCUCACAAAUGUUUAUCAUACAUCCAUUGUGACCAAGAAUUCAUCUACUCAACGUUCAAAUAUGGGUGAAGCUCCUAUUGUGUGCCAGUAAAUAAAAUGGUGAACAAGACGAAGAAUCGAAGAAUAAUUAUGAAUACAAGGCAAAAAAUACAUUGUUUAUGAUUUCUGCAAGCUACUUUUUCCUAGAGCACUUCUCAGGGUUUCUGGUUGUACAUUAAUAAAAUACAAAUACAAAACACCGCCCUUGACCAUGGGCUACAGGAGGGCAGAAACCAUGUCUUCUGCUCCCAGUUGUAUCUACACAGGGUCUGGAAUAUGGUAGGCACUGAAAUAUUUGUUGUUCCCGCCUCUUCACUUGGUGAAUCCUCAGAGGAACUGGGAGAUGGUCAGAGAUGGUGAUAUAUGAUCAGUAAGGGAAAGACAUGGGCUAGAAACGAAAGAGAAUCCACCUGCGAUAGCUGAGACUUAAGAAAGAAACACCAACUCCUUGGCCAAUGCUAUUAAUCUUUCCUGUGAGGGCAAGGGAAGGCAAAGAGGUAGCUGACGUCAGCAUCGGGCUGCAGUUUCGAAUUUCCCACAAAUGUUGUCUAAAUCAACUGAAUAAAUCCCAGGGGAUCCUGGGAUGUGUAGUCUGAAAAGUGUUCCUGGGUGUCCGGCUUACAAUUGGUUGUAAUAAAAUCAAAGUUACAACCCUGAGGUGUGGAUUUGGUGCUGGCGCUCACAGGAGGGAGAGUCCUUGUUUAUUUAUAAAAAUAUAAUUUUCCCAGAAGUUUUGAAGAAUGCUGACUUUUUAAAAAAUAGGAACUGGGCUUCCCUGGUGGCGCAGUGGUUGAGAGGCCGCCUGCCGAUGCAGGGGACACAGGUUCGUGCCCCGGUCCGGGAAGAUCCCACGUGCCGCAGAGUGGCUGGGCCCGUGAGCCAUGGCCGCUGAGUCUGCGCGUCCGGAGCCAGUGUUCCGCAACGGGAGAGGCCACAGCAGUGAGAGGCCCGCGUACCGCAAAAAAAAAAAAAAAAAAAGGAACAAGCCAAAAUCAGGGCAUUCUACACUCUGGGGCUUCUCCAAUCUUGCUCCUUUUCUUCCCUGGAAAUAGUUCCGUUUUUUACCCAAAGGCCCACAAGAGGGUGCUGCACUCCUUUUAGGCCACACUUCCUGUAUCAACCCUGAGGGUCUUGGGGAGCUACAAAACCAUCAUAAAAUGAGACAGGUGCUAGAUACUGUUACUAUUCCCCACUUUACAGAGGAGGAAAAUGAGGCCCAGAGAGGAUUUGAACCUAGUAAGUGACAGAUACGGGUCUCAAACCUAGUCUGUUUUCUCUCUUCUUUUUUCUUUUAAUUUUCUUAAAUUCUAUCUUCUGCAAUACUGUAUAUUCCCACUAACAUUUAUAUUUUAAAACCAGGAUCCCUAGUGUUCUCCUUACUUGUUGCAAGUAAUAAAUACUUCCUUCGCCCAAUUAAAAAACAAACAAACGCACCAGAAUACACUCCCAAGGGAGAAGAUAGUCCUUGAAUUGAAGGUAUGUUGUAUUGCACAAAGCAAGAUACUCUAGCACCCAGAACUACAGUGGCCUUCACAGAGCUGAAAGUUAUCUUAGACAUUGUCCAGUUGAUUAAGAGGGGGAAGUUACUUGCUCAUCAUCACUAUAAGUUCAUCCUUUCGCCUUCAUCUUUGUUUUCUUUCUAUACUGGAACUUCCCCUUAGCUUAUAAACACGCUCUGUCUUCUGAAUCUUAAAAGCAAAACCCCAAACCCUCCCUGAACCCUUCGUUCCUCUCUAGCUGUCAUGCGUACUUUGCCUCUUCUCACCCAAAUGUCUCAAAAGAGAUAUUCCUUCUUUCAGCAUCCUUCACUGAUUCAGUGUUAUCUCCUCGGCAACAGUGCCUGUUCUAAGGAGGCAUUCGAUAAACACCUGCAGAAUCUAUUGCUUUACCCUCACAAUUCUACCAAAAUGGUUCUUAGUAAGCUUACCUUCCAAUCGCCAAAUCCAGUGAGCAUUUGAAGGUCUCUUUCUGAACCGCUUUGUAUUUAAUAGUGUGAUUCUUUUAAACCUUUUGUGCUCAAAUUUUUCACCACUUGGCUUCUGUGACACUGUACAUUUCUUAGUUUUUCUCGUAAUUUUCUGCUGCUGUUGUGCUCCUAUCGGGCCUUCCCUUACAUCCCUCUGCUCCUUAAAUGUUGUUUCUCAGAAUUUGCCUUUAACCCGUUAUUCUUGUUCUACGCCAAUGUCUCAAAAUGUGGUCCCUGGACGAGCAGCUUCAGCAUCAACUGGGAACUUGUUAGAAAUGCAGUUUCUUGGCACCCACCUCGUGAAUGAGAGACAUCUAGAAAAUUCAACAUCCAUUUAUGAUUUUUAAAAAGAUGUAGCAAACUAGGUAUAGGAGGGUGCUUCCUGAACUUGAUAAAGUUUCCAGCAAAACUUAAGGCACAGAUUACAGAAAAUGUUUUGGCAAGUAUCAGAAUUAAUGGUGGAACAUUAGAAGCAGUCACCUUAUAGUUAGAAGUAAGACAACUAUGCCCACUAUUACCAUUACUAAUCAAAAUUGUAUAGGAUGUCUUAGCUAAUGCUGUAAGACAAGGAAAAGAAAGGAAUUGUAGAACUAUUGGGAAGAUGACAUUACACUAUCAUUAUUUGUAGAUGGCUAUCUGCUAAAAAAAAAAAGAUACUAGAAAGAAGCUGGCAGAAGACCAAUACAUCUAUAUCAACAACUUCCCCAUAACAGAAAUAUCAAUUUAAAAGGAUCAGUGAGUAAAGAUCUCAUUGACAAGAGCAAGGCCUAUAAAACUCCCAUAAAACCUACUGCAAGCCCUUUGUGGAGAAAUUAUAAAGCUUUCCUGAAGGACAGCAAAGUCUUCACUAAAUAGACGGAUAUACCAAGUUCAUGAACAGAGAGACCUAAUAUAAAAAUUGUUUUCUCCCCAACUGGAUACUUUUUUUUAAUAUAUUAUUAUUUUUAUUGAUAUUAGUAU